CUGUUUUAAGCAUAAAAAUUCAUAACCACGGAAUGUAAAUCUGAAAAUUUAUAAAAAUUGAAAGGGAGCUUACAUUAAUAGAUAUAAACAAUUCACCAAAGUUUCAUGGACAUUGGUGAAAGCCUUUUUGAGUUAUUGUCCGAAGUGUUAAAAAUCACCCUUUUUUUUAUGAAUAAAGCCCCAUAAAUCCAAAACUUAAAAUCUGAAAUUUAUAAAAAUUGAAAGGGAGCUUACAUCAA
rnacentral:lncRNA from 1 species